CUGGACUGUGAGCUGUUGGCAGGCAGACAGACGCAGAGGGACACACGGCUCUGACAUGCUGAAACAAUCAAAGUGUUGUCUGCAUCCCGAGGAAGCUGCAGGGCCAGGACUAAAGUAUCACUGCUCCUCAUUCAGCUUUACAUCUACAUGGUUGGAUUUGUGGUGUCACAAGAGCUUUUCUGCAGUCGCUUGGUAAGACUUUUGGAGUGGAAGUUACUCCAUGGUCCAGCUUGUUUUAUGUUCCACCGCAGAACAACCCAGUUUCUGCAGCUGUGAAAAAUGAAUUUGUGGCCUGUAACCAGAGCAUUGCAGACUUGACUUGUUUUGGUGGGUGGGAUUGUAACGGAACCCAUAAUGCAGCUGUGAUUCUGGACUCCAGCUGGUUAUGAGGUCCGUUUCCAUCCCACAACGCACAGAAACCUCCUGAGGCAAUGGAGUCAUCGACAAGACAACUGACUCUCUGCUUCUAUAGAAUCGGUCUGAAAGUAAAUGAAUGUUAUACCAGCUGAAAACUUUAUUGUUCCUUAAAAAACACAGUAACAUAUUUAAAAAGUAAAACACUGGUAAUAGUAAAGAACAGUAUAAAAGUAUGUGCAAUAUGUUGACUGAACCACACGGACAAAGUGUAUUUAGCUUGAAGUGAACUCAUUUUCAUUCACAAAAGCUCCUGGUAGGUGGAAGGAUUUCAGAUUUUCUUUCUGCUAAAACAAACAAAAAGUGAAAGUAACAUUAUAUAGGCAGUUUAAUGCAUUGCUGACAGUCUGGAGAGAGUUUAUUGUUGUGUGACAGAUGACAGAGGGUGUUUUUCCUCAAUGACACGUUUUCUCCCGGAUUGCCGGCGACAGUAAACGCAACCGGGAAUUCCGUGUCAGCCAAGAAUGACACCAACCACAGCGAUUUGAGAGCUUCCUGAUCAUUAUUCUUUUGUUUGUAAAAAUGCACCUCUACAUUUGUGAUCACAGCACCUGACAGGUAUUUCUGGAUAGCAUUUUGUUUUUUAAAUAAAUCUCAAUUUCAAACGUUA